rnacentral:rRNA from 1 species
GAUGAACGCUGGCGGCGUGCCUAAUACAUGCAAGUCGAGCGAACGGACGAGAAGCUGUCUUCUCUGAUUUUAUCGGCGGACGGGUGAGUCACACGUGGAUAACCUACCUAUAAGACUGGGAUAACUUCGGGAAACCGGAGCUAAUACCGGAUAAUAUUUUGAACCGCAUUGUUCAAAAGUUAAAGUCGGUCUUUCUGUCACUUAUAGAUGGAUCCGCGCUGCAUUAGCUAGUUGGUAAGGUAACGGCUUACCAAGGCAACGAUGCAUAGCCGACCUGAGAGGGUGAUCGGCCACACUGGAACUGAGACACGGUCCAGACUCCUACGGGAGGCAGCAGUAGGGAAUCUUCCGCAAUGGGCGAAAGCCUGACGGAGCAACGCCGCGUGAGUGAUGAAGGUCUUCGGAUCGUAAAACUCUGUUAUUAGGGAAGAACAUAUGUGUAAGUAACUGUGCACAUCUUGACGGUACCUAAUCAGAAAGCCACGGCUAACUACGUG